GACGAACGCUGGCGGCGUGCCUAAUACAUGCAAGUCGAACGCUGAAGGAGGAGCUUGCUCUUCUGGAUGAGUUGCGAACGGGUGAGUAACGCGUAGGUAACCUGCCUGGUAGCGGGGGAUAACUAUUGGAAACGAUAGCUAAUACCGCAUAAGAGUAGAUGUUGCAUGACAUUUGCUUAAAAGGUGCAAUUGCAUCACUACCAGAUGGACCUGCGUUGUAUUAGCUAGUUGGUGGGGUAACGGCUCACCAAGGCGACGAUACAUAGCCGACCUGAGAGGGGGAUCGGCCACACUGGGACUGAGACACGGCCCAGACUCCUACGGGAGGCAGCAGUAGGGAAUCUUCGGCAAUGGACGGAAGUCUGACCGAGCAACGCCGCGUGAGUGAAGAAGGUUUUCGGAUCGUAAAGCUCUGUUGUAAGAGAAGAACGAGUGUGAGAGUGGAAAGUUCACACUGUGACGGUAUCUUACCAGAAAGGGACGGCUAACUACGUG
rnacentral:rRNA from 1 species